rnacentral:lncRNA from 1 species
UAUGCUUAGUAAGAAAAACAGUAUUAAAUUAACAUCGUAAGAUUUCAAAAGUUAAUUAUUUUGACUUAAGAGCUUGUCAUUUAACCUCCUUGUUUACUUAUCUCACAUUAUGAAAAAUCAUUUGUUUGUUAAGAAGAUGGUACGUUAAUACAGACAAUCAAACAUACAUCAUGCCAGAUAAUAGAGAAAAUUAAAUAAAUCAUGAAAUACUUAGAUUUUCUUGUCAUGUUUCACGAAGUCCUUACAACUUCUAUUUUUGAGGGAAGAUACAGAUUUCCAACUAUCCAAGUGGAAUGACCAAAUUAAAUACAAAUAUGACAAUUUGCUCAGGCCUAUUUCAAGCUAGCCAAACCAUGGUAAGAUAUAUGACCACAGUCGUACCAGCCAUAGUGGCCCUAACAGAUAUCUACAAUAACGACAUUACUUAGCCACAGGUGACCCCUAUAGAUAGU